CUGAUUGAAUGAAGAGUUAGUGGCGGAAGCGGUCGGUUUAGUUCCGAACGUCCUAUAAUUUAAUUUUAGUGGUAUCGCAUCCUUGGCCAACAGCAUUCAGCACACAGCUAAACCUUCUCUUCGAUCUUAAAUCUUCAAUUUUCAUUCAUCUACUCCCUAUUUUUCCUCUACCUUUUCUGAGAAGAACAUCACCUGCAAAAAAAAAAAAAUGCUUUUCUGAUAUUUCAACCAAGUCCCAUCUCACAAACCCUAGUUUAUCAUUCAUAUCCUUGCCUGAAGGUAAAACAGUGUAAAAGGGGAGCAGAAAAGUAGAAAAUCUUCCUCAAUCUGAUCAUUAGUAGCCGAAUCUGCUCUGUUUAAAAUGGCUGGGAGAAACCGCAUUCCUCGUGAAGCCUUCAAUGACCGGCGUGGAUUCCCCCCCGAGAGGUCGUUCUUUCGUGGUCCUCCUCUGCCACAGCCACCUCCUCAUCCUGCAUUGUUGGAGGAAGAACUUGAAAUGCAGCAUGCUGAAAUUCGAAAGCUUUUGACUGAUAACCACAGGCUGGUAGAAGAUCGAAUGGCUAUACAACAAGAGCUUGGGGCUGCAAAGGAGGAAAUUCAUCGUUUGAAUCUUGUCAUUGGUGAAAUUCGUGCAGAACAGGAACUGCACUCAAGGGGACUUAUUGAAAAAGGCUUGAAACUGGAGGCAGAUCUUCGUGCAACUGAGCCACUAAAAAAGGAGGCUAUGCAACUCCGCUCAGAAGUUCAGAAACUGAAUAACGUUAAUCAGGAUCUAACUGGCCAAGUUCAGACUCUCAAGAAGGAUAUUACUCGGCUGCAAGCUGAUAAUCAGCAGAUUCCUAUUCUCAGAGCAGAAGUUGAUGGCUUGCACCAGGAGUUGAUGCGUGCAAGGACUGCUAUUGAUUAUGAAAAAAAGGCAAACAUUGAGCUGAUGGAACAGAGACAAGCAAUGGAGAAGAACAUGGUCUCCAUGGCACGUGAAGUUGAAAAGCUACGUGCAGAACUUUCUAGCGUGGAUGCUAGACCAUGGGCUGCAGGUGGACCGUAUGGGAUGAAAUUCAACAGUUCAGAGGGCGCUUUUCCAGCUUCAUAUGAAGGAUAUGGGGCUCAUCUGGGUGCUGCUGACAAGGGUCCUUUUUACGGACCUGGCCCUGCUUCUUGGGAGAAGCCACGCAUGAAUCGUCGCUAGGAAAGUUAUUACUUGAUGGAAGAAGGCUGACAUUGUUACUUCACUUAUGAAGUUCAAAAUAUUGAUCAGCAUGGAGUUCAUCUAUGCAUGCAUGCCGCAUCAGUAAUAUUUAUCUUUAUAAAUUGAAACUGGUAUGCCUCGUGCAAAAAGAUGCAGAAAGAAGAUUAGUUAAAUCUUGCAUGAAAUUGAGGAAAUAUGAAUGAGGUAAAGUUACAUCAUUACAUGUGCUUUCAGACAAAAUUGGAAGAAAAUGAACCCCCAUCCCACACCCCCCCGCCCCUCCCAAAAAAAAAAAAAAAUUGUGUGCAUUUGUGUGAGUUAAUUGGUAGAUCUGCGUUUCAAUCCUAAAUGGAGAUGCAUGGAACUUUGUUGUAUGUUUUUUUUUUUUUAUCCUUUUGGGGUGCUGUGCUGGUAGGGUUGUCAAUCGUUUCUUUAGCCAAUAACCUCACCUCCAUCCCCUUUCCAUUUUGGUAUCUCCUGCAAUCUUUACCGACAUCAGGACAUUAUCAUAUAAGAUUGUUUCGCAGCCAGCAUUGCCAUAAAUAUAGUUUUACUACUCUGGUUAGAUGGAUUGUCUUACCUGCCCAGAACAUGCUAACAUCUCCUAACGUUUUUGUUAGUGGUUCUUCUGGGAGAUAUUCUGAAACUUGUAUUCUGAAAACCUUUGAAAUUAAAAAUAACUUUCUAUUUUGAGAGAGAAGUGUUUCUCGACGCUAAUUACUAACAAAUACCAAAUAACUAGUUGCAUUUGUUAAAUACUGGAAGGAAAGUAGUCUCUCCAUGAUAGUAGUGUAGGUCAUAGCUAUUACGAAUUUUCCUUCUUUAAUUGUUCUUGUGUGAGUAACAGAUAUGGUCUCAUGCUCCAUGAUUAGCACUUGAAUUCAUGAACUGCACAAGGUUGGUGUCAUGUCUGUACUCUAUUGUUGCAACUUGAUUACUAAAAGUAGACCUGACUACCUGUAUAUUUGUGUUAUGUUCAUAUUAUUAUUAUUAUUAAUUUUGAAAGACAUUAUUAUUAUUAUUAGUAUUGUGUUAUUAUUGUGUUUAAAUUGUUACGUAUUUAAUACAAAAUUUGACAUGUCAAAAAUUUGCAUUUUAUGUAUUGUUUUCGUGUUUGUGUUUUUUGGUCAUCAUGUGUCGUGUUAUCUUUUCACGUCUCAUCGUGUUCCACGUGGUGUUCAUGUUCGUCUAAUCUUGUAUGAGAUUUUCUGAUCUAACUGAAACUUAUUUAAAUAUAACUUUAAUUUGAGACUUUGUGUCCCUUAGCUCUCUUGUUAACAAAAGCCAUGAAGCUUUUGUGUUUUAACCUCAAAUUCUCAAAAUAUGAUUUAAAAAAAGAACAUAAUCUUAUGUUUAUAAAAUAACAUAAAAAACCAUAUAUUUUAUAAUUGGGCUUUCCUACCUUGUUUAUUUAGUGCUGUACAUGGCAAAUGAAAGAUUCAGUGUUUUAGUACCGUAAAACAGACUAAUUGCAUUAGGCAAUCACUACGAUAAUUGUAAUUUCAAAUCAGAGCGAUACAUUGCAGUAUUCUUUUUCAAUUUCAAGUUCUUUCCUUGGAGCCCAAUUUUUAUUUUUGUUCUUUCAUAACAAAUAAAUUACAUGGUUACAAUUUAGGGGUGAGUUGGAUUUUCAAAUUCAGCCAUAUGUAAAAUUCUUUACAUCUAGGUUGUAAAUACCGGUGGUAGCACUUUGGAUCGUCUUCCUUUGACUGGUGUAUUCGUGUCUGGGAAAUUCCCAUCACCGCCAACAACAUCCUCAACCAAACCAUCGACUGUGACAUUAACAGGGCUCUGCGGCUCCAUGAGUAUGUCAUCAGCAAGUCCGGUAUGCUCAUACCAUAAGGCCAUUCGAUAAUCAUGGAUACUUCUAGGAGUUGCAGAAUUGAUUUCAGGAUUCCCCGGUGGCAACUGAUAGCAUCCGAUUGCAAUUUCUGUGUCUCGUUGACCGUCCAUGGAUCUUUGGUUCACAUUGGCGGAUCCUAUCAGAAUGUAUAAAUCAUCCACUGCAAGUUGCAACGACCAUGGUUAAUAUUGAAUCAAGAUUGUCCUCUUGAUACUCAAUACACCCAACUAGACCAGCCUGACCUUGGAUAAGGUCUUUCAUAUGUCGGAUAUGUCUGGUCCAAUCCAAUUUUAAUUAAUUUUAUUUAGCUUUCACUAUGGAAUUUAAGGAUACUAUUACAAAAUCAAUGUAUUGUAUUUAAUAUUAAA